rnacentral:tRNA from 1 species
ACCUAGGUGGCUCAGUUGGUAGAGCACGUGACUUUUAAUUUGGGGGUUAUGAAUUCAAGCCUCAUGUUGGGUG